CGGCUUCCUACGGGAGGCAGCAGUAGGGAAUAUUGCGCAAUGGACGAAAGUCUGACGCAGCAACGCCGCGUGGAUGAUGAAGCAUCUUGGUGUGUAAAAUCCUGUCAGUAGGGAAGAAACGUAUUGGUAGUAACUGACCAGUGCCUGACGGUACCUACAGAGGAAGUCCCGGCUAACUCCGUGCCAGCAGCCGCGGUAAUACGGGGGGGACAAGCGUUGUUCGGAUUUACUGGGCGUAAAGGGCGCGUAGGCGGGCCCACAAGUCGGAUGUGAAAACUGGUAGCUUAACUACCAGCCUGCAUCCGAUACUGUGGAUCUUGAGUGCAGAAGAGGAAAGCGGAAUUCCAGGUGUAGCGGUGAAAUGCGUAGAUAUCUGGAAGAACACCAGCAGCGAAGGCGGCUUUCUGGUCUGACACUGACGCUAAAGCGCGAAGGCUUGGGUAGCAAACGGGAUUAGAUACCCCAGUAGUCCAAGCCG
rnacentral:rRNA from 1 species